UGGAAAAUGGUUUUUCUUGGCCAAAAUUAAUAGGAAAUAGUUUAAUAAGAUAUGAAUAAGGGGAAAUGGUAUGUUAGUAAACAAAUAUUUGUAUCAAUUAUCAGCACGAAAUCGUUGUUAAUGUAAAAAUAAUUUUAUUUGCGGGUGUUUUUAGUAAACAAAUAUUUUGUAUCAAUUAUGUGGAGGAAGGAGGAAUUUUAUACUUCGAAAAAUCGCUAGACGUCUAGGCUUCUAAGCCUAGGUUUUCUUCAAAGUCAGAAAAAAGGGCAAAAAAAAGGACCCGACGCCUAGGCGGGCGCCUAGGCCCAUUUUUCGAACAUUUCAUUUAUAUAUAUAUAUAUUUGAAAAUUAGCGAUAAUUCCGUUCUCUUUUUAUCUUAUCCAACCCCUGAAAAUCCACCAAACUUGCGCCGAUAUAGCAGAUACUUUGAUUUUUCUCCUCCCCGUUACACUCACAGUUGACAAACUCAAAGAGCUUCUCAGGCGAAGCAAUGGCGGUGCCUCUCUUCAACCUCGCCCCCAAUCUUACAGUUUCAAAGCUGUGCUUUGGGACGAUGACUUUCGGCGAGCAAAACACGUUUCCGGAGUCCUUUGGCCUCCUCGACCAAGCUUUCCAGGCCGGCAUCAAUUUCUUCGACUCUGCAGAAAUGUAUCCAGUGGUUCAGCGAGCCCAGACUCAGGGUAGGAGCGAGGAGUACCUUGGCCGUUGGAUUAGAGAGCGCAGAGUUCCUCGAAACAGUGUCGUUUUGGCCACCAAGGUUACGGGACCGUCUGGGCAGAUGAAAACACUUGGAUACGAGAUGGCCCCAAGUGUUUGAAUGCUAAGAAUAUCACCGAGGCCAUUGACGGCAGCUUAAGGCGAUUGCAGACAGAUUACAUUGAUCUUUAUCAGAUUCAUUGGCCUGAUCGCUAUGUUCCCAUGUUUGGAGAAAUUGAGUAUGAUCCAACCCGACAGUUUUGUUCGAUUCCUAUGGACGAACAACUUGAUGCUCUUGGAAGAGCUGUUGAUUCUGGUAAGAUUAGAUAUGUUGGUCUCAGUAACGAAACACCAUAUGGGGUGAUGAAGUUUGUUCAGGUAGCUGAAAGGGGUACUCGCCAUCCAAAGAUUGUCUCUGUGCAGAACUCAUACAGCUUGCUCAGUCGAACUUUUGAUUCUGGGUUGGCUGAAUGCUGUCAUCAUGAGAGGAUCAGUUUAUUAGCUUACAGCCCCCUUGCAAUGGGUAUACUCUCUGGGAAGUAUUUUUUGGCUGAUGGGGGUCCUGCGGAUGCUCGGCUGAAUCUUUUUAGAGGUAAAUAUUCGGAAGGGGAAUCCAGAUACAACCUGUCUGAUCACAUCAUAAGAGCAGCAGCCAUGGAAUACAUUGAUAUUGCAGGGAAGUACAGUGUUCACCCAGUAUCUCUUGCAAUAGCUUUUGUUUUGAGCCACCCCCUUGUUGCGAGUGUUGUGUUUGGAGCAACGAAGUCAUGGCAACUGCAGGAGGUUCUAGAUGGAUGCAAGGUCGAGCUGACACCUGAAGUAAUUACAGAAAUCAACAAGAUUCAUGAAAGGUUUCCUAAUCCAUGUCCCUGAUCAAAAUUCAUGCUAAUUCUAUUUCUUCCUCGUUUGAAAUAUUGUCAGAAUGUCUGAAAUAGAUUCGCAUCUCAUCUCUGGUAUAUAUUAUUUGUAAAUUCGUUGAAUUGAUAGUUAAUGAUGAUGGAUAUUGGUCUAGAAAGUUGCUCAGAAUCUUGUAGGAUUUUUGUCUUCUAGAAAUGAUGGUGAUUCCUCCUUCCAAGCAUCCUGUAACUUAAAUGCGCUUCUCAUGCCAAAAAGUGGGGCCUCUUCUACAUUCUUUCUGCCAAAUUUCCUUCAAUUUUGGGGCCAUUCCGGUCUUUUGUCGUGACGGGCAUUGACUGCUGUGAACAAUGUAGCUCAGCAUUGUGUUGUUAUUAGCUUUUGAGCUACUUGUUGCAGAAUGUUGAACAAGAACCCGGCGUGGAAAAAAAAGUCUUGGUAAAAAGUCUUUACGUUGUUACAUACGUUAUACAUAAAUACAUGUAUGGGCGGAUAUCUAGAAGACCAAAAUGUACCCAAUUUUUUUAUUAAUUUUUUUUUAUUUUAUGAAAUGUACCCAAAAUUUGGCUUAA